ACCUUAAAAUCUUAUAAAGUAAUCAUAUUUAAAACAAACAAAAAUUGAAAUGGCAGUUUAAAAAGUAUAGGUCCUAUCUGUAGGGACAGUGAAACUCUGCAUGUAAAAGAACCCUUGCUACAACUCUUUUAAGGUGUCCGUAGGACAUGGCUUGUGGCAAGGCUUAUUUUCUAUCAAAAAUUAUCUUCCUCUCAGCUGGAAGUCAAAAUUUCCCCUCUUUCAUCAUCGGCCCACUUGAGAGAACCUUCAAAUUGAUUUGUUAUGAUGAUAUCAAGAGAUGUGAGACAACUAUCCUUCAGAGACCAAAUGAUGUUAAUGUAAAAUAGGUUGCUGUAUGGGCUUCAACAAUGAGAAAAUCCACUGAAAUUUAAUAUUGCUUUAAUAUUUAGCAAUAUUCUAAUUUAGAAUGACAUUUUUUAUACCUCCAACCUUUUACAUCUGAUAUUUUUAUUAUCUAGAGCUCUGUAAAAAAAAAUUAAAAAAAAUAUAAAAAAGAAAAUACCAAAAAAUAAUAUGAAAACAAAAUAGAAAACAGAGUUCUAGAUAAUAAACAUUGAGGGUUGGAUUAUUUUGAUAUUUUUUAUGACACCCACCUUAAAAUCUUAUAAAGUUAUCAUAUUUAAAACAAACAAAAAUUGGAAUGGCAGUUUAAAAAGUAUAGGUCCUAUCUGUAGGGACAGUGCAACUCUGCAUGUAAAAAGAACCCUUGCUACAACUCUUUUGAGGUGUCAGUAGGACGUGGCUUGUUGCAAGGCUUACUGUCUGUCCAACAUUAUCUUUCUCUCAGCUGGAAGUCAAAUUUUCCACUCCCUUCACCAUUGAAUGGAUCACUUUAUGGAACCUACAUAUUGAUUUGUUCUGAUAUCAAGAGAUGUGAGACAACUAUUCUACAGAGACCAAAUGAUGUUAAUGUAAAAAAGAUUACUGUUUUGGCCAAUAAUGAGAAAAUCCACUAACAUUGAAAUUUUGCAAUAUUCUGAUUUAGAAUGAUUUUUUAUACCUCCAACCUUUAAUAUCUGAUAUUUUUAUUAUCUAGAGCUCUGUAAAAAAAUGAGAAAAAAUAUAUAAAAAAGAAAAUACCAAAAAAUAAUAUGAAAACAAAAUAGAAAACAGAGUUCUAGAUAAUAAACAUUGAGGGUGGAAUUAUUUUGAUAUAUUUAUGACUCCUGCCUUAUAGUCUUUCAAGUUGUCAUAUUUAUAACAAACAAAAAUUGAAAUGGCAGUUUAAAAAGUAUAGGUCCUUUCUAUAGGGACAGUGCAACUCUGCACGUUAAAGAACCCUUGCCACAAAUUUAACUCUUUUGAGGUGUCAGUAGGACAUGGCUUGUGGCAAGGCUAACUUUCUGUCAAAAAUUAUCCUCCUCUCAGCUGGAAGUCAAAAUUUCCCCUCUUUCAUCAUCGGCCCACUUGAGAGAACCUACAAAUUGAUUUGUUAUGAUGAUAUCAAGAGAUGUGAGACAACUAUCCUUCAGAGACCAAAUGAUGUUAAUGUAAAAUAGGUUGCUGUAUGGGCUUCAACAAUGAGAAAAUCCACUGAAAUUUAAUAUUGCUUUAAUAUUUAGCAAUAUUCUAAUUUAGAAUUACUUUUUUAUACCUCCAACCUUUAACAUCUGAUAUUUUUAUUAUCUAGAGCUCUGUAAAAAAAUUUAAAAAAAAAUAUAAAAAAGAAAAUACCAAAAAAUAAUAUGAAAACAAAAUAGAAAACAGAGUUCUAGAUAAUAAACAUUGAGGGUGGGAUUAUUUUGAUAUUUUUUAUGACACCCACCUUAAAAUCUUAUAAAGUUAUCAUAUUUAAAACAAACAAAAAUUGAAAUGACAGUUUAAAAAGUAUAGGUCCUAUCUGUAGGGACAGUGCAACUCUGCAUGUAAAAGAACCCUUGCUACAACUCUUUUGAGGUGUCAGUAGGACGUGGCUUGUGGCAAGGCUUACUUUCUGUCCAACAUUAUCCUUCUCUCAGAUGGAAGUCAAAUUUUCCACUCCCUUCACCAUUGAAUGGAUCACUUUAUGGAAGCUACAUAUUGAUUUGUUCUGAUAUCAAGAGAUGUGAGACAACUAUCCUACAGAGACCAAAUGAUGUUAAUGUAAUAAAGAUUACUGUUUUGGCCAAUAAUGAGAAAAUCCACUAACAUUGAAAUUUUGCAAUAUUCUGAUGUAGAAUGAUUUUUUAUACCUCCAACCUUUAAUAUCUGAUAUUUUUAUUAUCUAGAGCUCUGUAAAAAAAUGAGAAAAAAAUAUAUAAAAAAGAAAAUACCAAAAAAUAAUAUGAAAACAAAAUAGAAAACAGAGUUCUAGAUAAUAAACAUUGAGGGUGGAAUUAUUUUGAUAUAUUUAUGACUCCUGCCUUAUAGUCUUUCAAGUUGUCAUAUUUAUAACAAACAAAAAUUGAAAUGGCAGUUUAAAAAGUAUAGGUCCUUUCUAUAGGGACAGUGCAACUCUGCACGUUAAAGAACCCUUGCCACAAAUUUAACUCUUUUAAGGUGUCCGUAGGACAUGGCUUGUGGCAAGGCUUAUUUUCUGUCAAAAAUUAUCUUCCUCUCAGCGGCCCACUUGAGAGAACCUUCAAAUUGAUUUGUUAUAAUGAUAUCAAGAGAUGUGAGACAACUAUCCUUCAGGGACCAAAUGAUGUUAAUGUAAAAUAGGUUGCUGUAUGGUCUUCAACAAUGAGAAAAUCUACUGAAAUUUAAUAUUGCUUUAAAACAAAAAUUGAAAUGGCAGUUUAAAAAGUAUCACUUUAAGGAACCUACAUAUUGAUUUGUUGUGAAAUCAAGAGAUGUGAGACAACUAUCCUACAGAGACCAAAUGAUGUUAAGGUAAAAAAAGAUUACUGUUUUGGCUUCAACAAUGAGAAAAUCCACUAACAUUGAAAUUUUGCAAUAUUCUGAUUUAGAAUGAUUUUUUAUACCUCCAACCUUUAACAUCUGAUAUUUUUAUUAUCUAGAGCUCUGUGAAAAAAUGAGAAAAAAAAUAUAAAAAAGAAAAUACCAAAAAAUGAUAUGAAAACAAAAUAGAAAACAGAGUUCAAGAUGAUAAACAUUGAGGGUGGGAUUAUUUUGAUAUUUUUAAUCACUUACCGCCUUAAAGUCUUCUUAAGUUAUCAUAUUUAAAACAUAAGUUAUCAUAUCUAAAGCAUACAAAAAUUGGAAUGGCAGUUUAAAAGUAUAGGUCUUUGUGUAGGGACAGUGCAUUUCUGCACGUUAAAGAACCAUUUCCACAACUCUUAUGAGGUGUCAGUAUGAGGGGGCUUGUUGCAAGACUAUCUUUUUGUCCAACAUUAUCCUCCUCCUGAUUGGCAGUCAAAAUUUCCGCUCCCUUCACAUUCAGUCCAAUUUAUAGAACCUACAAAUUGAUUUGUUGUGAUAUCAAGAGAUGUGAGACAACUUUCCUUCAGAGACCAAAUGAUGUUAAUGUAAAAUAGGUUGCUGUAUGGGCUUCAACAAUGAGAAAUCCACUUGCAUUAAAAUUUUGCAAUAUUCUGAUUUAGAAUGAUUUUUUAUACAUCCAACCUUUAACAUCUGAUAUUUUUAUUAUCUAGAGCUCUGUAAAAAAAAAGAAAAAAAUAUAUGAAGAAAAGAAAAUACCAAAAAAUUAUAUGAAAACAAAAUUGUAAACUGAGUUCUAGAUAAUAAACAUUGAGGGUGGUAUACAAAGUGGGCAUUUAUCAAAUUUCUUUUUAUUCAAUAUUUAUGAAUAUAACUCUGUUGUUGGUGAAUUCUUUUGUGCUGAAUAGGUGUUUUCUUUCAUUAGAAAGUUAACAUUUUGAUUUUGUAAAGCUGUAUAUUUUUUAUGCCAAAAAUGGCUUUAAAAGCGCAUUUUUUUUCAUCUAUUAAUUUGGAGACUUAACAUCUAUUUUCUCUGAAUAUUGCAUGCUAACAUUGUCGUUAAAUUUGAUUUUGACUCACUUUGUUUAAAGCUAUUACCUUAAACAUCUGAUAUUUUUAUAUUCUAGAGCUCUGUAAAAAAAAAAUAAAAAAAAAAAAUGUGAAAAAAAAUAAAUGACAAAAAAUAAUAUGAAAACAAAAUUGUAAACAGAGUUCUAGAUAAUAAACAUUGAGGGUGGUAUAAAAAGUGGGCAUAUUUAAAAUUUCAUUUUAUACAAUAUUUAUGAAUACAACUCAGUUUUUGGUGAAUUCUUUUGUGCUGAAUAGGUUUUUUCUUUCAUUAGUAUAUUUACAUGUUAAUUUUAAAAUGGCUUUGAAAGUUCUUGUAUUGAAUUGGAAAUACAUUUUUUUCAUUUUAGUAAUUUGGAGACAACAUCUAUCUUCUCCGAAUAAUACAAGCUAAUACUGUCUUAAUUUUUUGUUUUUAUUUGAAUUCGAAUUACUUUGUUUAAAUCUAUAAUUUUAAACAUCUGAUUUUUUAAUUAUCUGGAGCUCUGUAAAAAAAAAAAAAAAAAAAAUUGUGAAAAAAAAUAAUAUGAAAACAAAAUUGUAAACAGAGUUCUAGAUAACAUUGAGGGUGGUAUAAAAAGUGAGCAUAUUUAAAAUUUAUUUUUAAUCAAUAUAUUUUUGAAUACAACUCAGUUUUUGGUGAUUUUUUUGUGUUGAAUAGGUCUUUUCUUUCAUUAGUAUAUUAACUUGUUAUUUUUGUCGAGUUGUAUAUUUUGUAUGGCAAAAAUGGAUUUAAAAGUUUGAAUAUUUUAUUGGAAGUGCAAUUCUUUUCAUUUUAGUAAUUUGGAGACAACAUUUGUCUUCUUUAAAUAUAACUUGCUAACAUAGUCCUAAAAUUUUUUUUGAAUUACUUUGUAUAAACCUAUAACCUUAAACCUUAAACAUCUGAUAUUUUGUUAUCUAGAGCUCUGUAAAAAAAAAAAAACAUGUGUAAAACAAUAAAGUAACUAAAUAAUAACAUGAAAACAAAAUUGUAAACAGAGUUCUAGAUAAUAACAUUAAGGGUGGUGUAAAAAGUAGGCAUAUUUAAAGUUUUUGUUUAUUAUUAUGAAUAGUGCACUGUAUAAUUUGUAAAAUAUUUAUUGUGAAGUCUUGGAAAAUUGUGAAAUUUUAGAACUGUUUAUUUGAGAUGUCUAUAUUCAAUCUUCAAUAAUGGUCGUGGCAAUGGAGGACAAUUGAAUAUUAUUGCUCUAUGAAGAUCCAACAACAGUUUAUAUCAAUGAUAUCUGAAGAGACAAAAGACUGAGAAAUACUAAAAGCUCAAAUAUGUUCAGUCAAACAACUGGCACACUCAAGCUAAAAGUAAUAGCUUAAUUAAUAAGACUAUAUGAACUUAUAUAAUAAAGUUUAUGUUCUACAUUGAAGACAUGUUCCUAUAUACCAUUCUAUAGAGAAGACACCUUCCUACAUAAUGUUCUAUAGAGAAGACGCAUUCCUACAUAAUGUUCUGGAGAAGAUGCAUUCCUACAUUAUGUUCUAGAGAAGACAUGUGCUUUACAUACUGUUCUAUAGUGAAAGACAUGUUUCUACAUACUGUUCAAUUGUGAAGACACGUUCCUUGGUACAUUUUUAUAGUAAAGACACAUUUCUACAUAAUGGUCUAUAUUGAAGACAUAUAUUGUUCCUACAUAAUGUUCUAUGGUGAAGAAAGAUGUUCUAUAGCACAAACGGAUGUUCCUUAGUUGCAAUGAAGUGUUCAGAAGACAGACAGAGUUUCCUUUUGCAAUGAAGUAUCCAGAAGAUUUCCAGCUCUUCAUAACAUAUUCUGCUGUUUUCUCAAGAAAAACACAAGAUUUCAAUGUUCAACCUGAAAGUAGAAAUUCUUAAAAUUUAUGCUGGACAUCUCAAUACUGGAUAUCUACAGAUAUAAGACUUGUGAAGAAUAUUCUGAUAAAUUAAUGAUGUAAAACAAAUUGUGCUACAAGUAUCAAACCAGCAAAAUAAAUUGAUGGAAGUAAAACAUAAGUGCAGGAUCUUACCUCAUACAAGUGAAGAGGAAGAAUUGAACUGAUGAACUUGAAAACAUCUGAAAGAUAUACACAAGAAAAACAGACAACAUAGAAUAAGGAAAUAGAACGCUUAACUCAGAGUCAUAGAGUAAAGGGAAGACCUAACUAGCAACACUCUGAAAUUGACAAGAGAAAAAAAUCAACAUACUAGCUGCCUUAUUACCAACUUUAUUAGAGCUGACUCGAACGAUGAACAUAGUCAACUGAUGAACAUAGUCAACUGAUGAACAUAGUCAACCUAUGAACAUAGUCAACCGAUGAACAGUCAACUGAUGAACAUAGUCAACUGAUGAACAUAGUCAACUGAUGAACAUAGAACAAAAGUUUUACAUAGUAACAUCAUAGUAAAACAUUCAACAUAACAGCUGCCUUCAAUUACGAAAUAUUCUUGGCAACUAAAAUAUACGACUGAAAUUAACAAGGCAAACAAUCAAUAUAAUAGCUGCUUCAUCACCAACUGAGAGGUUUAAUGUCUUUUUAAAUUGACUCAACUGAUGAACGUAGAACAAACUUUGACAUAUUAACAGUAUAGUAAAACAAUCAACAUGUCUGAGACAAAAUAUUCUUUGCAAUUAAAACAUAUGACUGAAAUUUCUUAAUUGUAUACGAUCAAGAAUGGGAGAGAGAGAAAGAUGUAGAAUGGUCAGAGUGGAAGAGGGAGAGGGAGAGGGAGAACAGUUAUGUUGAUGAGAGAGAGAACAAAUAUUUCAACUGGUAAAUUUGUCUUCAACCAACACAUGGCUUGUGUUGAUGUGUCUUACUAGACAUUUGAUAUUUUUAUUAUCUACAGCUCUGUUAAAAAACAAUGUGAAAAAUAACAUGAAAACAAAAUUUAAACAGAGUUCUAGAUAAACAAUAUUAAUGGUGGUGUAAAAGGUAGGCAUAUUUUAAAGGAGUAGGCUCAGUAAGACCCUUUACUGGCCCCAAAAUAUAGCAGCUUUACAAAAUUGUUAAAAUGUAAUCGUUCAGCUAUUUAUUGGAACACUCUUGUAACAUAAAUAUGGGCUGUUUUUGACAAUACAAUGCACAUGACUGUAUCAGGUAUUUGCACCAUUAAGUCAUGCAAAAUUACUGAAAUCUUCACAUUAUAGAAUUUGAGCUAAUUUUUAGACGGUUUCCGCCUCAAAUGGAAGUGGCCUUAUUUGUGUUCAGUCUUUAAAUGUAUGUUGAAUUUGAUGAUUAUACAUAACAUACAUAAAGGUUGAGAAUGAACACAGAUGCAGCCACUUUCAUUUUUGACCAAAAAAAACAUCUGUAAAGUGACAAAUUAUGGCAUGUUUGGUCGAUUUUUCAUAUUUAAAUUUAGUUUUGGGCAUCUUAAAUGACUCAAAUCAGUUCCAAUCUUUCACAUGAACGAAUUGAAUUGACUGCACAAGACGUGUCUAAAAAGUGCUCAAAAUUUGUCAUCAGAUGUUCCUGGAAUUUGAGGCCAAAAUUGGACCUUUUAUUUUUCUGCCCCAUUUAUGGCCAUUAUGUUUUCUGGUCUGUUUUGCCAUUUACUAUUGACACAUUCUUGUUUUUAUUGUAUUUAUUAAAUUUAAAUUUUAAGUUGAGAAUGUUUAAUUGGAUGUACAGUUCUUUAGAUUUUAAAUAUUUAGAGAUGGAACCUAUUCUUCAUUUAUUGACACUCUAAAAUAUAAUAAAUUUGCAAUAUUCUUAUUUUGAAUGUCUCUGCUUAUAACUCCAACCUUAGACAUCCAAUACUUUUAUUAUCUAGAGCUCUGUAAAAAAAAUAAUGUAGAAAAAUAAAAAAUAAUAUGAAAACAAAAUUGUAAACAGAGCUCUAGAUAAUAAACAUUAAGGGUGGUGUAAAAAGUGGGUAUAUUUUGAUUUUUCAAAUGGCCUUAAAGUUUGAUUGUUUAAAUAGAAGUAGAAUUCUUUCAAUUUUAGAUGUUUUAAGAUAAAAACCUAUCAUCUCUGUAAACUGUGUAACAGUGUCUUAAAUAUUGCAAUAUUGUGAUUUUGAAUGUCUUUGUUAACUCAAACUUUUAACAUUUGAAUUACAUUCAGUAUUAAAUAAUAUGUGAUGCAAUUUUUUCUUGUUAUUCUUUGUUAUUAAGGAUAUAAUUUUAUUUGUAUUAAAUGUUUUUUUCUAACCUGCCACAAAAAGGAUUCAUACCAUAAAUACAGACAGAUGCCAUAUGUUUGAAAGUUUCCGUCCAUCACAUUCACAUGUUUUUUGUCCUUGAUCUCAUUUUCAUGGUUCAGCAACACAGUAAUCCUACAUUCCGUCAUCAGCAUUGUCAGUGGUGGCGUCCACAAAUAUUCACUCUGUGUUUUUUUUUUAAAUUUUAAUAACUUUCUUAAACUAAACUGGAUUUCUCUCAAUCUUGUA